rnacentral:rRNA from 1 species
GACGAACGCUGGCGGCGUGCUUAAUACAUGCAAGUAGAACGGAAAGGCCCUGCCUUUGUGGGGUGCUCGAGUGGCGAACGGGUGAGUAACACGUGAGUAACCUGCCCUUGACUUUGGGAUAACUUUAGGAAACUGGGGCUAAUACCGGAUAGGAGCUCCUGCUGCAUGGUGGUGGUUGGAAAGUUUCGGCGGCUGGGGUUGGACUCGCGGCUUAUCAGUUUGAUGGUGGGGUAGUGGCAUACCAAGGCCUUGACGAGUAGCCGGACUGAGAGGGUGACAGGCCACAGUGGGACUGGGGUGCGGCCCAGACUCCUACGGGAGGCAGCGGUGGAAAAUAGUGCACGAAGGGCGGAAGCCGUAUGCAGCAACGCCGCGUGCUGAAUGACGGCCUUCAGGUUAGAAACCGCUUUCGCCUGUGACGAAGCGUGAGUGACGGUAAUGGGUAAAGAAGCACCGGCUAACUACGUG